AUGCUCCAGGUUUUCCUCAGGAAGAGAUCUAGCUUGGAAUGGUGUAGAGAUGGUGAAAAUAUUCUUCCUAGAAAGUACUUAAACUAUUGUUUGUUUGUUUUUUUGGCUCCUCUAGAAUUCAUUACUGACCUAGACUUGAUCACUGACCUUGAGUUGCUUAAUGAACUUGAGUUGAUUAAUGCCUUUGAGUUGACCGCUGGACUAGAGUCCACUGCUGACCUAGAGUCGACCACCCAAGAGUCCCCUACCCACCUGGAGUUGUCCACCACCACAGAGUCCACCAUGACUCCGGGGUCCCCCACCAACCUCGAGCCCACUGCCACCCUGGAGUCUACCGCCGACCAGGAGUCCACAGCAACCCCAGAGUCCCCCACUGACCUGGUGUCUACUGCCACCCCAGAGUCCACUGCCACUCCAGAAUCCCCCACCAACCUGGAGUCCACCACCACUCUAGAGUCUACCGCUGACCAGGAGUCCACAAUGACCCCAGAGUCCCCCACUGACUUGGAGUCCACUGCCACCCCGGAGUCCUCCACCAACCUGCAGUCCACCGCCACCCCAGAGUCCAUCACCGACCUGGAGUCCACUACCACCACUCCAGAGACCCCGGCCAACCUGGAGUCCACCGCUAUCCCAGAGUCCGCCACUGACCUGGAGUCAACCACUAACCUAGUCUCCAUUAGUGAUGUAGAAUCUACCACAGAUGUGCAUUUUGAGAAUGCACAAACUUUCGAAUUAUCUACUGAGGUGGAAUCAAACAUUCAUAGCUUUGAGGAAGCAACCACUAAAGCCACUGAAAGUGUCACUGCUGCUCAUUCAGAAGAGCCCAUCACUAGAGGACCAGAAGAGCCUGGAACUUCUGUGGGAAGCAACGAGUCCAUCUCAGUACUUUUUUGUAAGUUUCUGCUCUCUUGCCCUGAUUCCUUAACAGGGGUUUGA
rnacentral:lncRNA from 1 species